CAUGUUUAAGUCUUUUCCUUGAUAAAGCUGCUUUCCUGAAUCAGGAUAUAACACUGAAUUUGACAUAGAGCUAUGUGAACAGUAACACUUGCUUUCCACUUGUAUUGUUUUUCAUUAUGAGGAACAAACUUGUUUAUGCAGGUAACUGGGCAGUGAAUGCUUCUGUUGGCUUUGGUGUUGCUGACUGCAUCUAAUUUGAAGAAACCUUGUAAAGACAGCUACCAGAGCGAGACAUUGCCUGCAAGAAACACAGCCUAAAAUGAACACUGACAGCCUUCAAGUGGAACAGACAGAUGGAGUCAUGUUUGCCAGAGUCCCACAAGCCUUUACUAAAAGCAGACAGGCCUGAUGACUGCACAGAAUGGGAACAAGUUAGGUGUUAAAAGGAGGCAGUGUGCUCUGUAGUAUGUGACUGCAUUAGCGGUUUAUAGACAGGGUUUCACCUUUUCCAAGUGGAAAGGCACUGAGUGAUGAAGAGCCCUCUGUGGCGGAGAUCUCUCCACUUGAAAACUUGCGCAGAAAUUCAAAGGAAAAAGCAGUGACUUUAUUUACUCAGCAAACAUGCUGAGUAAUAGCAAAUCUCCCAACCGAAGUCCUAUUCUUCCCACAGUGCUCAGCUGACUUAAGAGCUCAGCAGCACCCAGGGCAAAACAUUGUACCUCAGAACAGGCAACAGGCAGGAGCUUUCUGUUCAGCCUUUCCCUAUCUUGUCACCCAGCUGUGGGGCAGCAUGAAGCUGCAUGCUGGAGAUUCAGAGUUACUUCUCCACUCAGAACAUGGAGCAUUUACGGAGGGGACUGAGUAAUCAAGAAAACUGCGAUGACAUCAGGGGGUCGACUACCUAACACUCACAUUCAGUAACGCCUGAAGUCCCGCCAAUGAAACAGUAAACUUGUUCCCCCUUUCUUCCUACCUAAAUUCCACUGGAUUAACAACAACCCCUGUAAAAUGGUAACCUGCCCCACCCGCAGGAAUUAAAAAAAGAUUUGAGCUGUACCAGUUUCUUUGACCUAUAUAUCCUAAAUUCGGGUAGUUCUUCCUUAUGAACUAAUGGCCCUGUGUGGGGGUAAGUAGGAGAGGACAUGGGCAUGUUCUCUUCCAGCAUAAUUGCUGGUCAGCUUCCUGAUUAUUUACAACAUCUUAUUGAAUAUUAUGGCAUAUAUGGGAAGCCAAGUAGACGAGGAGAAUGUUAUAGCACGGUAAUUACUGACUCUCUUAAAGUACUCUUUACAGUGGUCAUUAAAGCAUUCCACAAGGGUUCCUACCGCUAAACUAAAAACACAGCAGACCUAGAUUUUGCUAUAUGAACAAUCUCACAGAACACAGGGUUCAGGGUCACAGGUCAGGACAGCAGUGCCUGUGGUGCCCAAGCUGUGACAGCAAAGAGCAUAACACUGCAUCUUAAGCAAAGAAGAGGGGAUGACACGCACAGAUUAGAGCAACGUGGUGGAUAUAUGUUGAUUUGCUGGGACUCUGCUGAGCUUAGGGGAAGCCUGUCCUGAACCCCUUGGUCUCGGGUAUGCUUGGUGGUAACUCUUUCCUUGUCAAAGCAUGAAGACCUUCUGUCAUUUUACUAAUGACUAAAACUGGCUGUCCAACUCCAGCUGUCAGGAACCUUUGUACAGACCCUGAAUCAUGAUCCCUUUGGAAUCUCCAAGUAUAGCAACGGACUUUUGCAUUCUUGCUAGACCCUCCUUUUCAGGGCACCAGUUUUCUUACUGGGUCUAUAUAUUCAUACACACAACUACAGCUCUAUAGCUACAAAUAGCUAUGGCUAUUUGUUUCCUAUUUCUCCAUUUUCUACUCAUGAAAUGCUCUUGGAUGCUUUUUCUUGCUGCCAUGUUUGUUGGCUCCCUGGAACACAGCAGCCAAAGUAAGAGGUCAGCUCUGCCUUUUUGCAAUUUUUGCGACUUGCUUUUUUGUGAUUACAUUUUUGUGAUUUUUCUGGAUGUCUCAAAAUACUUGCUUUCCCUUUCCUUUUUUAAACAAGUUUAAUA